rnacentral:rRNA from 1 species
CCUACGGGAGGCAGCAGUAGGGAAUCUUCCACAAUGGACGAAAGUNUGAUGGAGCAACGCCGCGUGAGUGAAGAAGGUUUUCGGAUCGUAAAACUCUGUUGUUGGAGAAGAAUGUAUUUGAUAGUAACUGNUCAGGUAGUGAC